CCUACGGGAGGCAGCAGUGAGGAAUAUUGGUCAAUGGACGAGAGUCUGAACCAGCCAAGUAGCGUGAAGGAUGACUGCCCUAUGGGUUGUAAACUUCUUUUAUAUGGGAAUAAAAUGUUCCACGUGUGGGAUUUUGUAUGUACCAUAUGAAUAAGGAUCGGCUAACUCCGUGCCAGCAGCCGCGGUAAUACGGAGGAUCCGAGCGUUAUCCGGAUUUAUUGGGUUUAAAGGGAGCGUAGGUGGAUUGUUAAGUCAGUUGUGAAAGUUUGCGGCUCAACCGUAAAAUUGCAGUUGAAACUGGCAGUCUUGAGUACAGUAGAGGUGGGCGGAAUUCGUGGUGUAGCGGUGAAAUGCUUGGAUAUCACGAAGAACUCCGAUUGCGAAGGCAGUUCACUGGACUGCAACUGACACUGAGGCUCGAAAGUGUGGGUAUCAAACAGGAUUAGAUACCCCUGUAGUC
rnacentral:rRNA from 1 species